rnacentral:lncRNA from 1 species
GCUUUAAUGAGCUUGCUUUCUGGUCUGGUCUGCCUUCCCUUAAGCGGUACUUGGCUUGCUUGAGUGAGGAUACUCUUUAUGAACCACUCGAAUAACUCAGUUAAAGUGUUCUUGCUUCUAGUUCUUCUUGCUUUGAGAAGCUUACUUAUAAAAUACUAUCUUUCUCUUUAUCCUUCUUUCUGGCUUCCAGCCAAGUCUGGUUAUCC